rnacentral:rRNA from 1 species
GAAGUUUUCGGAUGGAAGAGAGUUCAGCUUAGUGGCGAACGGGUGAGUAACACGUGAGCAACCUGCCUUUCAGUGGGGGACAACAUUUGGAAACGAAUGCUAAUACCGCAUAAGACCACAGUGUCGCAUGGCACAGGGGUCAAAGGAUUUAUCCGCUGAAAGAUGGGCUCGCGUCCGAUUAGCUAGAUGGUGAGGUAACGGCCCACCAUGGCGACGAUCGGUAGCCGGACUGAGAGGUUGAACGGCCACAUUGGGACUGAGACACGGCCCAGACUCCUACGGGAGGCAGCAGUGGGGAAUAUUGCACAAUGGGGGAAACCCUGAUGCAGCGACGCCGCGUGGAGGAAGAAGGUCUUCGGAUUGUAAACUCCUGUCCCAGGGGACGAUAAUGACGGUACCCUGGGAGGAAGCACCGGCUAACUACGUGCCAGCAGCCGCGGUAAAACGUAGGGUGCAAGCGUUGUCCGGAAUUACUGGGUGUAAAGGGAGCGCAGGCGGAUUGGCAAGUUGGGAGUGAAAUCUAUGGGCUCAACCCAUAAAUUGCUUUCAAAACUGUCAGUCUUGAGUGGUGUAGAGGUAGGCGGAAUUCCCGGUGUAGCGGUGGAAUGCGUAGAUAUCGGGAGGAACACCAGUGGCGAAGGCGGCCUACUGGGCACUAACUGACGCUGAGGCUCGAAAGCAU